GGAGAAUUGGCCGAGUGGUCUAAGGCGCAUGCUUGGAAAGCAUGUAACGGGCAACCGUUCGAGGGUUCGAAUCCCUUGUUCUCCG
rnacentral:tRNA from 1 species